rnacentral:rRNA from 1 species
UACGUAGGGCGCAAGCGUUGUCCGGAAUUAUUGGGCGUAAAGAGCUCGUAGGCGGCUUGUCACGUCGGGUGUGAAAGCCCGGGGCUUAACCCCGGGUCUGCAUUCGAUACGGGCUGGCUAGAGUGUGGUAGGGGAGAUCGGAAUUCCUGGUGUAGCGGUGAAAUGCGCAGAUAUCAGGAGGAACACCGAUGGCGAAGGCAGGUCUCUGGGCAUUAACUGACGCUGAGGAGCGAAAGCGUGGGGAGCGAUCCGG